rnacentral:rRNA from 1 species
UACGUAGGGUGCGAGCGUUGUCCGGAAUUAUUGGGCGUAAAGGGCUCGUAGGCGGUUUGUCACGUCGGGAGUGAAAACUCGGGGCUUAACCCCCGAGCCUGCUUCCGAUACGGGCUGACUAGAGGUAUGCAGGGGAGAACGGAAUUCCUGGUGUAGCGGUGAAAUGCGCAGAUAUCAGGAGGAACACCGGUGGCGAAGGCGGUUCUCUGGGCAUUACCUGACGCUGAGGAGCGAAAGUGUGGGGAGCGAACAGG